ensembl:ncRNA R07G3.14 ncRNA
GCCUAAAGACGACCGCGACGCGGCCGCUCGCACUCAUAGACUACGCUAGUGGUGAGAUACGCAGAGAAAAAGACGAGAGAGUAUUGAGAGAAUGGAGACAUCACUACAUCUAACAUAGGGUCGCCAGUCGUCACCGAAUUAUUGGAUUCAAAUUUAGGUCCC